rnacentral:rRNA from 1 species
UACGUAGGGUGCGAGCGUUGUCCGGAAUUACUGGGCGUAAAGAGCUCGUAGGUGGUUUGUCGCGUUGUUCGUGAAAACUCACAGCUUAACUGUGGGCGUGCGGGCGAUACGGGCAGACUGGAGUACUGUAGGGGAGACUGGAAUUCCUGGUGUAGCGGUGAAAUGCGCAGAUAUCAGGAGGAACACCAAUGGCGAAGGCAGGUCUCUGGGCAGUUACUGACGCUGAGGAGCGAAAGCAUGGGGAGCGAACAGGAUUAGA